rnacentral:rRNA from 1 species
GUAGUUAGCCGUGGCUUCCUCCCCGGGUACCGUCAUUUGUUUCGUCCCCGAGGACAGAGGUUUACAAUCCGAAAACCUUCUUCCCUCACGCGGCGUCGCUGCAUCAGGGUUUCCCCCAUUGCCCAAUAUUCCCCACUGCUGCCUCCCGUAGGAGUCUGGACCGUGUCUCAGUUCCAGUGUGGCCGAUCAGCCUCUCAGCUCGGCUACCCAUCGUCGGCAUGGUGGGCCGUUACCCCGCCAUCUACCUAAUGGGACGCGAACCCCUCCUAAAGCGAUAAAUCUUUGACCCCUCCCUGAUGCCAGGCUGUGGUCUCAUGCGGUAUUAGCACCGAUUUCUCGACGUUAUCCCCCUCUUUAGGUCAGGUUGUUCACGCGUUACUCACCCGUCCGCCGCUAAUCCACUCCCGAAGGAGCUUCAUCGCUCGACUUGCAUGUGUUAAGCACGCCGCCAGCGUUCGUCCUGAGCCAGGAUCAAACUCUGA